UACGUAGGGUCCGAGCGUUGUCCGGAAUUAUUGGGCGUAAAGCGCGUGUAGGCGGCUUUGCAAGUCGGGUGUGAAAGCCCUCGGCUCAACCGAGGAAGUGCGCCCGAAACUGCAGAGCUUGAGUACCGGAGAGGAUGGCGGAAUUCCCCAAGUAGAGGUGAAAUUCGUAGAUAUGGGGAGGAACACCGGUGGCGAAGGCGGCCAUCUGGACGGAUACUGACGCUGAGACGCGAAAGCGUGGGGAGCAAACAGG
rnacentral:rRNA from 1 species